UAGUUGACAUGUAAAUCAAGACCACACUGGGCAAGCGGACAUCAUCAGCUGAGUGACACAACAGUUAGUUUCAAGUGUGUUUCCCUUUUUGCUGUUGUCUCUUGUGCUGAGAAGAAACGGAAUGAAAGCCAAUGAUAUCAAGGAGGAAACAUACGAAGAACCUGACUGACAUUCUCCAUGCAUGUCCUACCUUAAAAUCAUGGUGUCUUAGAAUCAGCCAUCGUCGUCCCCGCUGCCGAAAGUGCGCCGCGAGCAAUCCAACCGCUGCAGUCAAAGCCAAACGACCAACACUAAUUAUGCAGCCUCUACUGAUUAAUCAUACGCGUCAGUUUAUUCCCUUCGACCGGGAACGAGACAAGGGCAGGCAGCAGAGCCGCAGUACAUAUUCCAGAGUGACACGAGGAGGAAGAGAACAGAGCUGAGCUAGCUACAUAGCCAAACAAAGCAAACCAAACCGCUGCUAUCCUACUGAUGUGAAAAUACCUCUGCUAGUAGGUUUGGUGAAACUAUGGAUAGUGCUAGUCCUUGGCUCCGGCCGGCUCGUCGACGACGACGGUGAUCC
rnacentral:lncRNA from 1 species